rnacentral:tRNA from 1 species
GGGCCGUUAGCUCAGCUGGUAGAGCAGGUGGCUCUUAACCACUGUGUCAUAGGUUCAAAUCCUAUACGGCCCACCA